GACGAACGCUGGCGGCGUGCUUAACACAUGCAAGUCGAACGGAAAGGCCCUGCUUUUGUGGGGUGCUCGAGUGGCGAACGGGUGAGUAACACGCGAGUAACAUGCCCUUGACUUUGGGAUAACUUCAGGAAACUGGGGCUAAUAUCGGAUAGGAGCUCCUGCUGCAUGGUGGGGGAUGGAAAGUUUCGGCGGUUGGGGAUGGACUCGCUGCUUACCAGCUUGUUGGUGGGGUAGUUGCUGACCAAGGCUUUGACGGGUAGCCGGCCUGAGAGGGUGACCGGGCACAUUGGGACUGCGAUACGGCCCAGACUCCUACGGGAGGCAGCAGUGGGGAAUAUUGCACAAUGGGCGGAAGCCUGAUGCAGCAACGCCGCGUGCGGGAUGACGGCCUUCGGGUUGUAAACCGCUUUCGCCUGUGACGAAGCGUGAGUGACGGUAAUGGGUAAAGAAGCACCGGCUAACUACGUG
rnacentral:rRNA from 1 species